UUUUCAGCACUAAAAUGAAUAUAUAAUAUCAGAUAUAUAGAAUUUCUUAAUAUUCUUUAUCGUAAUCUAUUGUAACACGUUUCCUUUGUUUCUUUUCUAUCAUUUUACAAAAGAUUCAGUCGUCUAUUGGAACUGUUGUAUAUCUGACAUUAUUGGAACGAAGUUUUGGUCAUGACAACAUGGCGCUCAAUGGGGAAAGGUCAGCCCUCUCUGGGCUUUCCGACCUCAGAAAAGAAAAAGCAGAGGAAAAAGAGAACCUCUGGAAGAAGAUCUUAGGGGAGGUACAAAAUAGCGAGCGCAAUAAACUACCAUCUUGUAAAUCAGUCCUUGUUCUUGG